CCUACGGGAGGCAGCAGUGGGGAAUAUUGGGCAAUGGAGGAAACUCUGACCCAGCAACGCCGCGUGAAGGAUGAAGGUUUUCGGAUUGUAAACUUCUGUCGCGAGGGAUGAAGAAUGACGGUACCAAGUAAGAAAGCCCCGGCAAACUACGCGCCAGCAGCAGCGGUAAUACGUGGGGGGGGAGCGUUGUCCGGAAUGACUGGGCGUAAAGGGAGGGUAGGCGGUAUAUUAAGUCAUGUGUGAACGCCCGCGGCUCAACCGGGGAAGUGCACAUAAAACUGGUAAGCGGGAGUGCAGGAGAGGUAAGUGGAAUUCCCGGUGUAGCGGUGGAAUGCGUAGAUAUCGGAAGGAACACCAGUGGCGAAGGCGACUUACUGGCCUGUAACUGACGCUGAGGCUCGAAAGCGUGGGGAGCAAACAGGAUUAGAUACCCGAGUAGUC
rnacentral:rRNA from 1 species